UGUGUAUUUUGUGUUUGGUGCAGUGUGGAAUGUGUGUAUGCCACUUCGGCAAGGAGGAAACAGUGCAUUGUGGUGUGUGUGUGUGAAGUCUUAUUCCAGGUGUGGGCAACUGGUGUAGUCUCUUGGCAAAAUUCAGUGUUUCUAGCGUGUGCAUGUGUAAGUGGUGCACUAAUGUGUUUGGUGUGUUGUGGGAUGCACCCCUGUCUUUGACGGGCAGAGUGAAUGCCACACACAUGCUCUGAGUUCAUAUAUGCGUUAGGUGUGGGCUGAAACGUGCCUUUUGUGCGCAGGAGCAUGUGUUGCGCUUUGCGCAUGCUCGGAGCACACUCCGUUCUGUGGUGCGUGGGCUUUGUUCGUAGCGAGGGAGGCGUGCGUCAGGUGCGGGCUAAGAGCGCAGUGUGUUGUUGUGUGUGGUGUCCAGGUGUGCGUGCUGCUCUCAUGGGAUGCACGGUGGGAGGUGGCAGGAGGUUAGUGACACGGUGAGGGUUCUCCGCGGUGGGCAUGGGGUCGGGGUCCUGCCACCAAGACAAGCCGGGGCAGAACCUCGGCUUGUCACCACCUGCCCCGGACCGACCUGCGGGGCAUUCUGGGAAGCGGGCCUCGCCCACCGCGGGGGCUGACAGGAGCUGAGGAGGCGGCGCUGGAAGUGGAGGGGUGCCCCGGGCGCGGCGUGGCUCAUCGCUGCUCGCCUGCUGGGCUGGCGCUGUAAGAGCCCCUCCGUGGCUAAAUUGUCCUGUUUAACGGCUCUGGUUGAUCGAGCGCGGUGCCCUCCACGUGUAUUUCCCCGUCUGAUCCUCAGGGCCGGCCUCUGAGGGGAGUUCCUCUCCCCACCGCACAGGCUUGCUCGCGAGUUCAGAAAGGGAUCCACACACUUUUCCCCACUUCCUACCGCUGCCACGCCACAGCCUUUAUGAUUCAAGUGCCACUACUGAUUCAGCGCCCAUCUGAUUGAAACAGCUCCUCUUUGCUAAGCAAGGUCCCAGGAAGCAGAAGUAGCUGGGCUCGUUACAUCUGAGCUGACCUUGGUCAGGUGUCCAUCUUCGAGUAAUCAUCUGGUCCCCUGGAGGGCAGGUUUUGAGGACUUGGGGCAAUGAGGUGACAUCGUGAAGAAUCUGGGUAGUGGAGCCACACUGAUUCGGACUCGCAGAACCAGCCUCAUGGUUUCCCCUCAGGGACACCAGCACCACCAGCUGGCACCCCUUCCCCAAAGGUCUGGUUUCACCUCUGCGGCUGUCCUCCAAGCUUCUUGUUCUGACAACUGCAACCUUUUCCCUGUGUGCCUCCAGCCCCAGGGAAGCCCCACUGCUUCCUGGUUGUGACUGAGUGAAGCUGUGACACCUCAGCCUUCUCUCUGCCUUCUCAAUGCUUCAGAACCUAAUUAACACUUCUUGGUACUACAGUCUCUCUGUUAAAGUGACCGCAGUGGUUUCUGGGUCUGUCUGGACCCUGACUGACACACUCGCGGGUCCUCCGCCCCCAGGUUCACGGUGACCCAGCCAGAAGCAGCCGCCAGACCCCCACACGGCUGCCCUGCCUCAGCUCUAAGGAGAAACAGCUGCUUCGGCCCCCUUUCGGGAAUCCUGUGACUAGAGAGGGAUGUGCUGCUCGCAGGGAUAACUCAUCAGCCCUGGAAAACUGGGCCAACAGUUAAACCACACAAACAAAAGAGCUGCAGCUCCACACAGAGCCUCCCGCUGGUCAGAUGCCAAGACAAACAGCUCGGUGCCCGGGGCCUGUGGGGCUGCAGGCUUCCUGGGCCUCCUGGGGGCAUCUCAGGAAGGAGGGCCUGAGCCCCAGAAUCUCUCCUUCCUGGACUCCAAGUCUUCCUUCGUUCCCUCCAGGAGUGUCUGGAACAGGCUGUGCUCUUCUUCUACUCUAGAACCUUCUGGUAAAUUGUGGAGCUUUCCAGGGCUUACCUCCCCCAGUGAAUGUCAAAGGCAGUGGGGUGCACGUUAGGUUCUUGCGGAGAGCUUCUAAAACUGCUGAUGUCUUGGCCCCACCCCAGAGAUUUUGGUCUGGACCAGCACUGGUAUUUAUUAAAACUCCCAAGUGAUUCCACUGUGCGAUCAGGAGUGAAACCCACCGAGCCAUCAGGAGUGAAACCCACGGAGUUCAAAGACCGUAUUAGGACUGCGCUUCCCAAAUUUUCGAGCCCAUCAGCGUCACCUGGAGGGCACGUGAAACCACAGACCGCCAAGCCUCACCCCAGGUUCCUACUCAGUCGUUCUGGGACAGGGCCCGGGACUGUGCAUUUCUUACAAGUUCCCAGCUGAUGCUCCCGCUGGGGACCACACUUUGAGAACCUCUGGCCAUGGAGUCGAACAGCCCAGGUUCAAAUGCCAGCUCUGCCAGACCCAGUUGACUGUCCACCUGAAAGGGUUUUGCGGGGACCGAAAGACACAACUCAGACAAAGAGCUUCACACAGUCCCUGCACGUAAUCACGUCCAGUGAACACUGUUGUUGCUGUGAUUAUGAUGACUAGCAGGCAAGGCUACAGAAAUCUGGAGUUAUAGCAUGCGACUUUGAACCAUCGUUUCCAUCAGAGCCUCAGUUUCCCCAUCUGUAAAAUGGGGAUGAUACCCUGGCCCAGCCCACUCUACGGCUUGUGGAAGGAUCAAAGGAGUUCCCUGAUGUGAAAUGUGGUGGAUGCUGUGAAGCCCAAUAGGGGAGUUAUAUAGGAAGGGGUCAAGCAGGCACAGCCCCAUCCCGGGGCCAUGGCGUAGGGCUGCUUGCUCACGUGGACGUCUGAAACAGCAGCUUUACGUGCUGAUGAGAGAGGAAUCCCCAUGUCUCCCUCCAGCUGCCUGCAUGGCUCCCUGACCCCCUCAGGCAUCGGGCAUGCCUGGGUGGGGCAGUGGCUAGUUGGCUCUUCAACCGUGUAAGAGGAAGAGAUAGGGGCUGGAGGACUCAGCCGCCCCCACCCCACCCGUCUUUCUGCUAAGAAAAGGAAUGUGGUGGAAGAGACCAAAGGUGUGCAAUCAAAGGUUUCCCUCUCCAGCCCUCGCCGCACACUUUCCAUCUUGGUGCCGUCCCUCCUUGAUCCCCCCUCUCCUUUUGUCAUCCGCUCACCCACACGCACCUCCCGCCCGCCUGGCUCCAGGGAGGGGAGCUGGGCAUAAGCUACACCCCGGGGAAGCCCAGAGGGCAGGGAGGAAAUGACUGUUCUGCUCAGACUAGGAACUUACUGGUCCACCUGGUCCCAUCCCUUUUCAGUUCAACUCGCAGACACUUAGUGCAUGUCUGCUGGUGUAAGGCUAACGGG
rnacentral:lncRNA from 1 species